rnacentral:misc_RNA from 1 species
CGGAGGAUUGGCGGCUAAGCCAGUUCUGGUAUAACCGUGAAACAGCUGAAACUGUCGCUAAUGAAGUCCUUAAUCUCUGUCGAUCGAUUGAUUCGCCGGCGAUUGCCUGCAUUGCUUGUCCCACACUUUAUGCUUAUCUCAAGAAAAUUGACCCUAAUGCACCUGCACAAAUUCUCGAGUAUGACAAACGGUUUGAACAGUAUGGAAGUGAGUUCACAUUCUACGACUACAACCUACCAGAAGAUCUUCCUUCUUCAAUGAAACACUCAUAUCCAAUAAUUGUUGCAGAUCCUCCUUACCUGAGUCAGGAAUGCUUAGAGAAAGUUGCUAAAACAAUUUCUUUUCUCACGAGACCAGGACAAGCCUACUUGCUUUUACUCACAGGUGAAGUGCAAAGUGGUAGGGCUUCCGAGCUCUUGGGUUUACGUCCAUGCGCUUUUAGGCCAGAUCACUCCAGCAAACUAGGCAAUGAAUUUCGACUGUUUACAAACUAUGACCCAGGGACAAGGCUAGGUGGCUGGGAGCAGGUGUAACAAACACUUCUCCAAUUGGAAAUCUUCUUCUCCAAAGAAACCAUAGGUUGACAUUGGUUUGCAAUAGAAGUUUUUUCAAACAUACUUUGAAUCUACACAUCCUUCCAUGGAAUAUCAUCUCUAAAUCAUCUUCAGUUACCUAAACAUAUCUGAAAGAGUACAAAAUAUUACUAUGAUUUUAUAGUUGUAUCUUG